rnacentral:rRNA from 1 species
GAUGAACGCUAGCGGCAGGCCUAAUACAUGCAAGUCGAACGGGAUCCAGAUCAAAGCUUGCUUUGGUCUGCUGAGAGUGGCGCACGGGUGCGUAACGCGUGAGCAACCUACCCUUGUCAGGGGGAUAGCCCGGCGAAAGUCGGAUUAAUACCGCAUGACAUCAUUGAGAGGCAUCUUUCGAUGAUCAAAGAUUUAUCGGACAAGGAUGGGCUCGCGUGACAUUAGCUAGUUGGUAAGGUAACGGCUUACCAAGGCUGCGAUGUCUAGGGGCUCUGAGAGGAGAAUCCCCCACACUGGUACUGAGACACGGACCAGACUCCUACGGGAGGCAGCAGUAAGGAAUAUUGGUAAAUGGACGGAAGUCUGAACCAGCCAUGCCGCGUGCAGGAAGACGGCCCUAUGGGUUGUAAACUGCUUUUAUACGGGAACAAACGUCGGUACGUGUACCGGUCUGAGUGUACCGUAAGAAUAAGGAUCGGCUAACUCCGUG